GCAGGAGGCGGCGGCGCUGAGCCUGUGUUGCGGCGCCCUCUGGUGGGGGCGGCGCGCAGCCGCAGCCCCGCUCGGGGCCGGGCCGCGCUGGGAGCGCCGCCGGGACCCGCCGCUCCGCAGCAGCUCCGAGCGCUUUCCCAGCGCCACAUGCUCGUUGCUGGAAAGGCUCUGCCGCUCUGCUCUCUUGGAAAUGAUCAAGCUCGGCUCUUACAUAACGCACAACAAUUCGCAAGGAACAGAUCGCACUCAGACCAUAUGUCUCUAUUUGGAUGUUACUUAGUUUGCGGUUCCAUAUUGCAAAGCUGUUGGUUUGCUUUGUUUGCCUUAAUGAUAUGCAGUAUGCCAUUAUUAUGAUAUUGCUGCAGCUCUAAAGAAGAGUGACACUGACAGUAUUGAAAUUAAAGGUGCCAGUAACACCAUGAUAUCUGCAAAGAGGGCUGCUUUGACCCUCUUCACCUAACCCUUUCACACUUGUAUAUUUUUUUACUCCCUUAUCCUUCUCUUAGACUGACAUGGUGAUAUUUAGAGGGUAUCUCUAAUAAUGGGAAAAGAAUAGAGAGGAAUGAAGAUAAGGUUUAAUCUCUGGUGAAACUUGAAUAAAUGUUGGAUCAGAUAUGGCGUAAAGGAGCAUCAUAGAGUUCUAAAGAACGAGGUGGGGAGCAAUGAAGAUGCAGAUCUCCCAUGGAGAGAUUGCCGGGGAGAGAUUCUGACAUACUACAUUGUGGAGGAGUUAGUAAAAGGAGAGAUCCUCACAUUAGCUCCCCUGAAAUCCAUUUGGCUCACCAUUAGAGUCAGGAGCAAUCAAGGCAAUGUCAGUGAAGCUUCUUCCUCUGACUGUCCCCCAAUAUAUUGCUUAACUGCUUUAUCUGAUUAUUGAAAGCCUACAAUCAGAACUAUCACUCUUCUCAAGUUAGUUAACCCAGAGCAUGGUACAUAAUGCAGAGCAGUUUACUACAAAUUAAGGACUGAAUUCAGACAGUUCUACUUUUGUGAGCCCUAAAAACUCUUUGUUUCCCAAUGGACUUGCUUAGAGCUUGCAUCAAAUAGUUGUACAAAACAAACUCAUGGUAGGUUGUGAACCUUUGCUUUAGAAAAGUAUUGGGUUGUUGAACAGCCACCAUUCUUUGGGCCAGUUUUGUUUAUUGAAUGCAUUUGAACUGCAUUAUUUUGCUCUGGCACAUUGACUGUGUAGAGCUUGAACAACAGGAGAGGAGGCUGUGGGGGAGGGAGGGAGAAACUAAAGACAGCAAGCUGACCUCCCUGUAUGCUUGUUUCUGCUGCUUUCCUGCACUCCACUGACAGCCAGUCCCACAUGAUGCAUGGUGAUUGCUGAAACCUGCUACCUGCUGUGUGAGUCUGAUACUUUCCAAAGGCUGAUUGUAGCUGAGAAAUGGAUGACCCUUGCUCUCACACAUCCACACACAAUACGAAUAAUAUUUCUUGGGCAGGAACAAGAUGGGUUUUUUCCUGGUUUUUUCUUCACUCCACAUGGGAAAGGUGCUGCCUAUUAUUGACUAACCUCAGUUAUGGACUCAAGACGUGUUUUAUAUAACAUAUAGCAUUUUGUGGUCUGUCACAUCUGUUUUUAUGCUCCUUGUUUUUCCCUUGAUAGUGUUGCCUGGCAUGGUAAUGCCUGCAAACACAAUGAAAGCAAUUCUCAUCAUAGUAGCAUCUCAAGUGGUACUUUCAUUGGCUUCACAUUUACCUCCUGUAAUAUGAUUAAUUUUGUUGGCAGUUAGAAUAGCUCCUGCUGUGAAGCUCAUGUGCUCUUUCUCUGGGACUUAUGUUCCCUUUCUGUUAUAUGCCCUCAACAGAUGUGAGAAAAAAUAAGGAGACAUGUGAUGCAAAUAUCUUGCAGAGGGCAUGAACUCAACAUGCUUCACAGGCUGCUCAGAUCCUUAGAGAUCACCGGUAUGAAGAUUUGAGCAUCAGAUGGAAUUUAUCUGGUUACCAUAUAAAAAUCUACAAGGAGUGUACAGGCACAGUGCAAUGAAUAAAAAUAUGCAGAAGAUUUCAGUGAAAGGGUAUAAAAAUGAAAUACAUCAUUAAUUCUUCAAA